GUCUUUGUAGUAUAUACAUAAUACCCUGGUCUUGUAAACCAAAAAAGGAGAAUUACUCACCCUCCCUAAGACU
rnacentral:tRNA from 2 species